CCCGCCCCUCCCCCUCCUCUUCUGCCUCCUGAACGCCGCCCAGGGGCUGCUGAUCUUCCUGUGCCACUGCCUGGGGCACCCCAAGGUUCGGGGCUGGUACCGGUCGCUGCUGUGCCCGCGCUGGCGCCCGUACUCGGAGUUCACCAGUCACACCAGUCACACCAGUAACACCAGUAACACCAGUAUGGGCCGCGCCCGGGGCUCCCAGUUACCCCAGUCACACCAGUGACACCAGGUGCCGAAAAUUCCAGGAAAAACCAAAAAUUUGGGGAAAUUCG